AAGUCCUUCUCCUUAUUUCUCAAAGAAUGCUACACAGUAGCUCCACCAAGUUCAAGUCAUCAACAACUUGUCAUGAUCCAUGAACGUAAUUUAGGCAAACGUUAUCAAGGUCAAAUAAAGUAUUCAGGUGAUUAUGGAUAAAAGCUGGAUGCAUGAACCAAAGUUUACUAAAAGAUAUAUUGAGGGCGUCCAAUCUUUUAUGCAGCUUGUUCGAUCUCACUUUGAUCGAAAUACCAAAAUUUGAUGCGCAUGUAUAGAUUGCUUAAAUGCAUUUUUUCAAACACAAGAAGUAGUGCACGACCACUUAUUGCUCGGAGGAAUUAUGAAAAGUUAAGUGCACUGGAGACACCAUGGAGAACAAUUACAAAUGAGAGAUAACAAUGAAGUAGUUUACAAUGAAGAUGAAAAUGAAGCCCAUGAUAAGGAAGAUGGGAUUCGUACUAUGUUAGAAGAGGUCGUUGAAGGAUCAUUUGUCAAUUAUUCAGAAGAGACUGGUAAUGAUGUGUGUAGUAAUAUGAGUGAGAAAGAAGCUAUAACAUUUGACAUAUUGCUGAAAGAAGAUGAAUGUGAAUUAUACCCGAGAUAGUUAUAGAGUGAUGGUGUAGAGACAUUCGAUGCAUCAGAUGGGGAAAGCUUCAAAAUGCAUGUUGCUGUUUUAUGGACCAUAAAUGAUUUUCCAGCUUAUUGUAAUUUAUCUUGAUGGAGCACUAAGGGAUAUAUGGCAUGUCCUACUUGCAAUAAGGAUGCAUCUUCAAAAAGGACUGCAUAAAGAAGAGCUAUUGAAGCAAGGUGUUGUGGAUAUAGAAGAUAAACAUAGAGAAUAAUUUCCUUCAUGGUUUAGAAGUAAAAUCCCUCUAAGGAAAACUGCAACAUCAUACAAGUUCAACCAAUUCAUUUCAUCUAAAAAUUGUCUCCCGCACUUAACUUUUCAUUUAUCAAUGAGAAAACUUUGUUAGUUCAAUAUAUUUUUAAAAUGUUGGUCCUCUUUUAUGAUAGUUCCAUCUAAUUAUUUUAGUUCAUAUUUUGCUGUGAUCUGUUCCUCCAAAAUUUAACAUAUUUUGGUUAACAACAACACAUAAGUAAGAAGUUUAACGUGUCUUGAUUUGAAGACUAUCAGUCAUUUUUCUUUUCUUUUGAGAACCUACACUGAUUUAUUGACAAGCCUGAUUGGAUCAACUUGUGGCCUUAUAUAGAGCUUACUAAUGCAUUUGAUAAAUUGAAUCCUAAGAUUGAGAAUGAAAGAAGUUGAUCAACAGAAUUUUGUAGAACGGUUGUCAAAGAAGACCACUAGUCUCCAGCAAUUGCAGUAUCUUUCAUCAGCAUUUUUUAUCUGCAAUUGAUCAUUCUCGUUCACUGCCUAGCAUAGAAUUGAGAUCAAGAUUUUUUAUAUUAGCUGGUGCACUAAUAAUACACAGGUUUUGAGGUUAUUUGCUUUACAGGUGCCAAAAAGCCGAAGGAUUAACUGCUUCAGAUACCCAAAUUAGGGAUGCUGACACUGUCAUGGAUGUAGUAGAUCCAUGCUCCAAAUUUCAUAGAAAUGAACAAACUUUGGAUGCGAAUGCAAUAUCAGGGACUUGCAUGGGAAAAGAAAAAAUGUUAAAAAGAAAGGAGAGAGCUUCAUGAUCUUGUAAUGAGGUAGGGAAGAACCUGAAUAUUCUAAGUCAAAUUGAGGGCAUUGAUCUUGAUUUGUACAAAGAAACGGUGCUUCUAAGAAUUUUAGAGCAGGUGUU